UACAGAGGUGGCAAGCGUUGUUCGGAAUUACUGGGCGUAAAGGGCGUGUAGGCGGCCUUCUUAGUCGGACGUGAAAUCCCCAGGCUCAACUUGGGAACUGCGUCCGAUACUGGAGGGCUCGAGUGCGGGAGAGGGAUGUGGAAUUCCAGGUGUAGCGGUGAAAUGCGUAGAUAUCUGGAGGAACACCGGUGGCGAAGGCGGCAUCCUGGACCGACACUGACGCUGAAACGCGAAAGCUAGGGGAGCAAACGGG
rnacentral:rRNA from 1 species